CCUACGGGUGGCAGCAGUGAGGAAUAUUGGUCAAUGGCCGGAAGUCUGAACCAGCCAAGCCGCGUGCAGGACGAAGGUGCCAAGCAUUGUAAACUUCUUUUGUCCAGGGACAAAAUCAGGCUCGAGAGCCUGACCGAGGGUACUUGAAGAAAAAGCAUCGGCUAACUCCGUGCCAGCAGCCGCGGUAAUACGGAGGAUUCAAGCGUUAUCCGGAUUUAUUGGGGUUACAGGGUGCGUAGGCGGUCUGUUAAGUCAGCGGUAAAAGCCCGGGGCUCAACCCCGGCGAGCCGUUGAAACUGGUCGGCUAGAGAGGUCGUGAGGUAUGCGGAAUGUGUAGUGUAGCGGUGAAAUGCUUAGAGAUCGUGCAGAACUCCGAUUGCGAAGGCAGCAUACCGGGGUCGAUCUGACGUUGAGGCACGAAAGCGUGGGUAGCGAACAGGAUUAGAUACCCGUGUAGUC
rnacentral:rRNA from 1 species